UAAUACGUAGGAGGCGAGCGUUAUCCGGAUUUAUUGGGCGUAAAGAGGGUGUAGGCGGUCUUUCAAGUCGGAUGUAAAAUCUCCCGGCUUAACUGGGAGGGACCAUUCGAUACUGUUAGGCUAGAGGGCAGCAGAGGGAGGUGGAAUUCCCGGUGUAGUGGUGAAAUGCGUAGAUAUCGGGAGGAACACCAGUGGCGAAGGCGGCCUCCUGGGCUGUUUCUGACGCUGAGACCCGAAGGCGCGGGGAGCAAACAGGAUUAGAUACCCUGGUAGUCCACGCUGUAAACGAUGGACACUAGGUAUGGGGAGUAUCGACCCUCUCUGUGCCGAAGUUAACGCGUUAAGUGUCCCGCCUGGGGACUACGAUCACAAGGUUA
rnacentral:rRNA from 1 species